CCACAAAAGGUNNNAGUUCAUCUAGACAGCAGGACGGUGGCCAUGGAAGUCGGAAUCCGCUAAGGAGUGUGUAACAACUCACCUGCCGAAUGAACUAGCCCUGAAAAUGGAUGGCGCUUAA
rfam:Rhizopus microsporus genome assembly, contig: SCAF18